UACAGAGGUGGCAAGCGUUGUUCGGAAUUACUGGGCGUAAAGGGCGCGUAGGCGGCCUUCUAAGUCAGACGUGAAAUCCCCCCGGCUUAACCUGGGAACUGCGUCUGAUACUGGAAGGCUUGAGUGCGGGAGAGGGAUGUGGAAUUCCAGGUGUAGCGGUGAAAUGCGUAGAGAUCCGGCAGAAGACCGGUGGCGAAGGCGGCCAGCUGGGCAGUAACUGACACUGAGGCGCGACAGCGUGGGGAGCAAACAGG
rnacentral:rRNA from 1 species